UGCUGUGUGUGUUUGCAUAUUAAUCUGGGCUAACGUUGGUGCAACUUUGCUUCAAAAUUAUAUUAAAAAUUGCUUAAAGCUGAGACAAUACUUAUUACAAUGUCAGCAAUGGCACCUUAACUUUUUGACAAUCACAUGAGUUAUGUAUUUGAAAGUUAACUUAUGGUAGUUUUGUCUAGUUGGCAAUAUACUGAUGAUGUAGGAUAUAAUUAAAUGUCUGUAUUCAAUAUACAUAUGUACUCACCUAAUGCCCCAGGAAGCACAUUAGAGAGGGUUAAAAAAUAGCGUUGGACACAGGUCUUGUUGGAAUUACCAAUCUAACGUAUUUAAUUGAUCAGCACCAAAUUUUCACUCAUCCAGUUCUACAUAACCUUUGACAACAGGGAUGUCAUAUGCAGUGACUGGAAAGCCCCAGAACCAAAUGUUUUUUUCACUUCAUACAGACACACCUUCCAAUCAACAGGCUCUCAACAUGAUCUGCCUUGUCAUGCAGAGUGACACCUGUAUGGGGCAUGAAAUACCACUUCUUAAAGCACUGAAAAUACAACAAAACAGAAGCAGCUCGCAGUGUUGCGCUAAAGAAGAGGCUGGCAAGUGCAGUAUAGUGCUUAGUGCUCAAAGACUGGGGCGAUUGACAGGCAGUGGAUAGGGCUGAAACAGGAAGAGCAGACAGAACUACAAAGAAAGAUUAAGAUGGAUACAUAGCUGACUUGACUGGCUGUAAUACUAAUGCCCUCUCUUCGACAGCUGUUUUAACCGUUUUAAGUUUAAGAAAAUAGAUAAUUAACUAAACGAACAAAAGAAUAAAUAAAAGUGACUA